rnacentral:rRNA from 1 species
GGGACCUACGGGAGGCAGCAGUGAGGAAUAUUGGUCAAUGGGCGCGAGCCUGAACCAGCCAAGUAGCGUGAAGGAUGACUGCCCUACGGGUUGUAAACUUCUUUUAUAAAGGAAUAAAGUGAGGCACGUGUGCCUUUUUGUAUGUGCUUUAUGAAUAAGGAUCGGCUAACUCCGUGCCAGCAGCCGCGGUAAUACGGAGGAUCCGCGCGUUAUCCGGAUUUAUUGGGUUUAAAGGGCGAGUAGAUGGGUUGUUAAGUCAGUUAUGAAAGUUUGCGG